rnacentral:rRNA from 1 species
GACGAACGCUGGCGGCGUGCUUAACACAUGCAAGUCGAACGGAAAGGCCCUGCUUUUGUGGGGUGCUCGUGUGGCGAACGGGUGAGUAACACGUGAGUAACCUGCCCUUGUCUUUGUGAUAAAUUCAGGAAACUGGGGCUCAUACCGGAUAGGAGAUCCUGCUGCAUGGUGGGGGUUGGUAAGUUUCGGCGGUUGGGGAUGGACUCGCGGCUUAUCCGCUUGUUGGUGGGGUAGUGGCUUACCAAGGCUUUGACGGGUAGCCGGCCUGAGAGGGUGACCGGGCACAUUGGGACUGAGGUACGGCCCAGACGCCUACGGGAGGCAGCAGUGGGGAAUAUUGCACAAUGGGCGGAAGCCUGAUGCAGCAACGCCGCGUGCGGGAUGACGGCCUUCGGGGUGUAAACCGCUUUCGCCGGUGACGAAGCGUGAGUGACGGUAAUGGGUAAAGAAGCACCGGCUAACUACGUG